GAGAGAGGGAGAGAGUGUUCCAGGCACGUAGUUGCUGGAAAAUAAAAUAAAAUGGGGAGUUGCUCUAUGUCAAGGAGAGAAAGAUGGAGCUCAAGGAAGCAUGGGUUUAAAGAAAGGAAAGGGGAAAUUCAAAGGAAAUUCACCACUCAAGAACUCUAGUAGGUCACGCGCUAUUGCCUGCCUGAUUGUGAUCUGUCUGAUCUGCUUGUGCAACUAUCUGUGACCAGAAGCAUGACCAAGCUUAGAGGCCUCUGCCUGGAAUCAGUUCUUGACAGCCAACCUAUGUGCCUCCCGUGGAGGUUCCGGUCAUGACUAGUGGUUAUGGCUAAGUGCAUAAGUAGAAGUUUUAUUUUCCUGUCCAGCUAGACAAGUCCUUGUGUAUUGUGUAAAUAAGGCUAAGUCCCUUAUGUCAGCUUAUAUAUGUAUAUAUAUGAUGAUGUGUAUAUAAGUAUAUAAAAAGUUUAAAU